CCAAGAGGCGGGAACCACCUGAGCGUGCACCCACAGAUGGAUGGACAAACAAAAUGUGGUCUGUAUGUACGAUGGAAUAGUAUUCAGGACAUUCUAAUGUGUGCUACAAUGUGGAUGCACCUGGUGGACACGGUGCUAAGUGAAAGAAGCCAGUCCCAACAAGACGGUGUAGGGUUCCACUCACACGAGGUCCUUAGGGUGGUCAAACUCACAGAGACAGAAUGUAGAGGGUGGGGUGUAGGGGAACGGGGAUUUCGUGUUUCAUGGAGACAGUUUCAGUUUGAGAAGAUGAGAAACUUGUGGAGACGGGUGGCAGGGAUGUUUGCACAAUAGUGCAGUGUACUUAAUACCCCUGAUCUGGACACUUAAAGAUGGUUAAAAUGGCCCAGCCUCUACCCUAUCCCAGCUCCACACAGCCUCCCCCCAAAAGCCUCCUUUCUCUGACUUUUUUCACAUUAAAAUCCUCAAGAUCAGCCCAGAGUAGCCUGCUAUCUUAUUUUCUAGUUCUUGUUUUAAAGAAUCCGUGUCCUCUCCCUGAGAAACAAAACCGAAAGGCACUCAGCUCCCCACGGGAAGGGCGUGGACUCUGGGGCUUAACCCUUGGGCUCAAAUCUCAGCUCCACUGCUUACAAGCUGUGUGGCCUUGGGUGGGGCACUUGACCUCUCGGUGCCUCCCCUGUAAAAUGGGAACAAUUCUAGUACCUAGCAACCCAGCCAGGGUGGCCGGGAGGGUUACACGGGGUAAAAUGUGCAGUGCGCUCAGAACAGAGGCUGGCAUCGGGUGAGUGCUAUUUACGUGUCUGCUGCUGUGAUUACUGACGACGUGAAACAGACGCUCUCUGUUACUUCUGGGAUCUUUAAACACACACACACACACACACACACACACACACACAAGCUUCCUCUAGCUCUGGAAUACUAGGUUGGUCUUAAUUUUAAGCUUCAAACCUUGGGCACAGAGUGGGUCAGUGGGUGCCUGUGUGCGGUUGUGUGUCCCUGUGUCUGUCCACACGUGCCGAUGUCUGCAAACAUGAUGGCAGGUCUCUGCCGGGGGGAGCCGUCUCUGCGACAAGCCCAUUACCAGCACCCGUCUGCGCUUUUGUGCGGAGCCUGCGUCCCCGCCGCCGGGCCCGUCCACCACACACACUCAGCACCGCAGGCGCCUCCGGACUCCGUGCCCCUUUGCCUGUGCUGGCUCUUGACAAGGAGCCUCUUCUCGGCCCCCGGGAGAGCCCGACUGGCUCUCAGAGCCCCCCUGCAGGGCCCCGUGGCCUUCCCAGUCCUGCUCUGCCCACACCUGCCUGGCUCCCUAUCCCUCCUCUGACAAUCCCUCCCACAGCCCUCCUCAGAGGACGGGGUGCCCUCUGCCCUCCACAGCAGCCUACAGGGCUGCAGGGCUCCCGGAGACACCCUGCGCCCAGGUGGGGUAUGCGUGUGCCUCUGUGGCGGGGUUGCCCUUGCCUUCCUGCCUCCCCUGGGCAGUCACCACCCCAUGGGCCUCCUGCAUUACUGCCCCCCACCCUGCCCACAUGCAC
rnacentral:lncRNA from 1 species